rnacentral:piRNA from 1 species
GGCCAAUAACCCUGCAAGAUCCCUGAA